CUCCUCUAAGUUUUACCAUGACCCGGAAGGAAAAUAGGAGAAUGUAGUGCGUUGUUUAAAUUCACUGAUUUGUCUGUGCUAAUUUAUUCAGGGUGACUUGUGACAGCUUAAAUGAAAGAUCAGACAUUUUACUUUAUUGCCAUUUGUUUUUGUCCUCAAUCUGCACAUGCUAUUGACUCCAGCCUUUCAUGAUUUGACCCCAAGUUCAAGGCUGUUUAGUGUAUUUCAGCUCGAAAAUUCCGGUGACCGUUGUUGACAGUGGAUACAGCAAAAUUGAAAUUCUCGAUCCAGACCGAUAUUUUGCUGGGCACAACCUUCAAGAAAUAGAAGCAUUGGUGUUAUUUCAAUUGACAUCACGACUGCCUUAGAUUAAAACUUGAAGGAGGUGACAUUUCCCAGAAAAUUUGUUCACCAUACCAUCCCAUGUUGGGUUGCCCCCCAGUCCAGAUCAACAGUUUGUUGAGGAAAAGCUUGGAAUUCAGUUGAUGCCUAUUCUUGCUGUGAAGAGGAACAAUCUGAACUGUAUGCAGGG